AGUACGUGAAACUGCUUAGAGGUUAAACCCGAUGAACCUGAAUAUCCAUUAUGGAAAAUUCAAUAUUAAGUAAACAAUAUAUAUCAUAUUGUGGAAAUAGUAUGCAAUUUUUCCAUAUAAGGACAUUGUAAUCUGUUAAUGUAAUAAUUAUUUAUCAAAAGAUUCUUAACUUAAGUUUAUUUAAAUUGCUUAUUUUCGGAUAUUCAACAUAAAAUAAAUGUUUUGAAUCAAAUAAAUCAUUGACAGAUAUAAUUAUAUAAUGUGCUUAAAUUCUACGGAAUUUUGCAAUGAUAAAUAGAUCUAUUGAUUUGUUUAUUUAAUUGUUUGCGCUAUUAUGAUUAACAAUGCGAUAGAUUCAGGAUACCUUCGGGACCCGUCUUGAAACACGGACCAAGGAGUCUAACAUAUGUGCAAGUCAUUGGGUAUUUUUAAUAAAACCCAAUGGCAUAAUUAACUUAACUUUUUUAUAAUGGGAUUAAUUUAUAAUUUAUUAUGAAUUAUUUAUUCAAUCCCGGGGCGUUCUAUACAGUUAUGUAUAAUGAUAUUUAUAUUAUUUAUACCUCUAACUAGAGCGUACCUUGAGC
rnacentral:rRNA from 1 species